GCCUGGGGGGCUCAGUCGGUUAAGCAUCCGACUUCGGCUCGGGUUAUGAUUUCACAGUUUGUGGGUUCGAGCCCCGCAUCGGGCU
rnacentral:tRNA from 1 species